CAUGAAGAUAAUGGGAGAGGCAGCCAGUCGGGGGCAAAGAUGCCGUUAAACAGUCAGCCCUGGGCAUGGACGUGCCCCCUCCUACUGAAGUCCUAUAUUCACAUCUUUCUGGGCCUGAAGCUGGCAUGUAAUUCUCGUUAACUCCAUGAGCAGAGUUUCAAUACUGCCCUGACCAAUGGGCAAAGAUGAUUCCCAGGCUGGAUCCCUGAACGCUAACUGACAUCCUGCUUUUCUUAAGGGAUAUGGAAAUUUCCCUGGGACAGCUGUGCUCUGCUGGCUAAGGAGCCCACAAGGUUAAUGAACACCCACAAAGACUGAGGAGGAUAGAGAGCAUUCUUCACUGGAUGAUUAGCAUGCCAGCAUUCUUUCCUCUGUGGUAAUGAUGGUCAAGAAGGUGCCUGGUGAUAGAAGGGAGAAUGAAGGGUUGCUGCUUCUGCCUCAAACGCUUAUUAAAAUUCAUUUCCAUUCAAAUAGCCAUCCUCUGAUUUUC
rnacentral:lncRNA from 10 species